GCGGUUGUUAGCAGCUGCAGCGGCGGCAGCGGGAGCCCUCCCGGGUCCUGUUUUCUCGGAGAAUUCUGCAGCCCGCGACUCAAGGCAAUUCGGUUCCACCCGAAACCUCAGCUCCAAAUGCCUUGUUUUAGAAGCUGGGGCUUUGGAGGUUCUGAGGACCGUUCCUGGGGAGGCGGGUGACAGUCUGUGAGGUUCUCGCGGCCCCUCUGAUUCCUGCACAGUUACCGAGGGAGAGAGUGCUAGAAAUGGCUUUGCUGCCGAAUGCAUUAUCUUGCCAUUUUCGUAUCCCGAUACAGCACGCACGAUCGCCUGAUCGAUCGGAAAUAGGAGGGAAAGGCAGAGUGGAAAUUGAUUUCUUGCUGAGACUCAGGCGCCGAAUGAUAGAGGGAAUAAACAUUUGCCCUGGAUAAAAAUGUUCUUGGCUGUGUUCCAGCCCUAAUAAGGACCUAGAGCAGAAGUUUUUCUUCAGUGAUCUAAUUUUACCCAAAAGCUCAUUUCUGUGUUAUGUCUCUGUUUUACGCAGGCUGACAAAUGUUGGUAGGGGGAUGGAUGCCCCGAAUUAAAUUUGUUACAAACUCAACCUUAACAGUUGUGAUGUAUUAGACAGCAUAUUUUUCGUGUAAGAUUUAAUAUGCUGCUAAACUUACUUACCUAAAUUGUGAUUCAAAGAAAUACAAUUGUUUUUUGAGGACCCAACUUAAGUUAGAAAGUAUAAUAUUAAAAUUUUUAUUUUAUAUGUAAAAUAAA